CUGAUCUCUUGACAGCUUGCUCCAUUGGUUUAACGGCGGACGGGUGAGUAACACGUGGGCAACCUGCCCUGCAGAUCGGGAUAACUCCGGGAAACCGGUGCUAAUACCGAAUAGUUUGCGGCCUCUCCUGAGGCUGCACGGAAAGACGGUUUCGGCUGUCACUGCAGGAUGGGCCCGCGGCGCAUUAGCUAGUUGGUGGGGUAAUGGCCCACCAAGGCGACGAUGCGUAGCCGACCUGAGAGGGUGAUCGGCCACACUGGGACUGAGACACGGCCCAGACUCCUACGGGAGGCAGCAGUAGGGAAUCUUCCGCAAUGGACGCAAGUCUGACGGAGCAACGCCGCGUGAGUGACGAAGGUUUUCGGAUCGUAAAACUCUGUUGUGAGGGAAGAACACGUACCAAUUAACUACUGGUACCUUGACGGUACCUCACCAGAAAGCCACGGCUAACUACGUGCCAGCAGCCGCGGUAAUACGUAGGUGGCAAGCGUUGUCCGGAAUUAUUGGGCGUAAAGCGCGCGCAGGCGGUCCUUUAAGUCUGAUGUGAAAGCCCACGGCUCAACCGUGGAGGGUCAUUGGAAACUGGAGGACUUGAGUGCAGAAGAGGAAAGUGGAAUUCCAUGUGUAGCGGUGAAAUGCGCAGAUAUCAUGAGGGAACAC
rnacentral:rRNA from 1 species